rnacentral:rRNA from 1 species
CACGGGGGCAACCCUGGUGGCGAGUGGCGAACGGGUGAGUAAUACAUCGGAACGUGCCCAGUAGUGGGGGAUAGCUCGGCGAAAGCCGGAUUAAUACCGCAUACGACCUACGGGUGAAAGCGGGGGAUCGCAAGACCUCGCGCUAUUGGAGCGGCCGAUGUCAGAUUAGGUUGUUGGUGGGGUAAAAGCCUACCAAGCCGACGAUCUGUAGCUGGUCUGAGAGGACGACCAGCCACACUGGGACUGAGACACGGCCCAGACUCCUACGGGAGGCAGCAGUGGGGAAUUUUGGACAAUGGGCGAAAGCCUGAUCCAGCCAUGCCGCGUGCGGGAAGAAGGCCUUCGGG